rnacentral:rRNA from 1 species
GAUGAACGCUGGCGGCGUGCCUAAUACAUGCAAGUCGAGCGAACGGACGAGAAGCUUGCUUCUCUGAUGUUAGCGGCGGACGGGUGAGUAACACGUGGAUAACCUACCUAUAAGACUGGGAUAACUUCGGGAAACCGGAGCUAAUACCGGAUAAUAUUUUGAACCGCAUGGUUCAAUAGUGAAAGACGGUCUUGCUGUCACUUAUAGAUGGAUCCGCGCUGCAUUAGCUAGUUGGUAAGGUAACGGCUUACCAAGGCAACGAUGCAUAGCCGACCUGAGAGGGUGAUCGGCCACACUGGAACUGAGACACGGUCCAGACUCCUACGGGAGGCAGCAGUAGGGAAUCUUCCGCAAUGGGCGAAAGCCUGACGGAGCAACGCCGCGUGAGUGAUGAAGGUCUUCGGAUCGUAAAACUCUGUUAUUAGGGAAGAACAUAUGUGUAAGUAACUGUGCACGUCUUGACGGUACCUAAUCAGAAAGCCACGGCUAACUACGUG